rnacentral:rRNA from 1 species
GGUACGUUCGGCCCCCCAGCGUCGGUAGUCCGUAGGGGUCUAGCGUGGCGCUGAUUCACUCGGCGUAAAGCGUACGUAGGCGGCUUGUUAAGUCAGGGGUGAAAGCCUGGAGCUCAACUCCAGAACUGCCUUUGAUACUGGCGAGCUUGAGUCCGGGAGAGGUGAGUGGAACUGCGAGUGUAGAGGUGAAAUUCGUAGAUAUUCGCAAGAACACCAGUGGCGAAGGCGGCUCACUGGCCCGGUACUGACGCUGAGGUGCGAAAGCGUGGGGAGCAAAUAGGAUUAGAUACCCUUGUAGUC